UUUCCGUAGGUGAACCUGCGGAAGGAUCAUUAAAGUUAUAGUCCCCCGGCCCUCUGGGCUGGGGUCUUUUAUACCACCCUUUGUUUAUUACACCUUUGUUGCUUUGGCAGGCCUGCCCUCGGGCUGCUGGCUCCGGCCGGCUCGCGUCUGCCAGAGGACCUAAACUCUGUUUGUAUAUGAAGUCUGAGUACUAUAUAAUAGUUAAAACUUCCAACAACGGAUCUCUUGGUUCUG
rnacentral:misc_RNA from 1 species